CAGUCCCUUCUCUGUUAAAACAUGGGCCCAGGCAGCUCCCUCAGCCACAAAGCGCAUUGGUUCACUUUACAAUCAAGCAAUCAAAAUUAUGGACAGAAAACCAAUCCAUCAUCACCAGUGUCAAAUCCUCCACAAACAUA